ACGUAGGGGGCGAGCGUUAUUCGGAAUUACUGGGUGUAAAGGGUAUGUAGGCGGCCCUUCAAGUCGCGUGUCAAAGUCCAGUGCUCAACGCUGGGUGUGCACGCGAUACUGACGGGCUUGAGGGCUGGAGAGGUGAGCGGAAUUCCCGGUGUAGCGGUAAAAUGCGUAGAUAUCGGGAGGAACACCAGGGGCGAGGGCGGCGCACUGGACAUUAGCUGACGCUGAGCUGCGAAAGCGUGUGGAGCAAACAG
rnacentral:rRNA from 1 species